rnacentral:lncRNA from 1 species
AUCAGUCUGGGUGUGUCAGUUAUUUUUAUAUAUAUCCUUUUCCCCCUCAAGAUUGUGAACUCCUGGAGGGUAAAGACCAUGUGUUUUCACUUAGGGGAACUCAAAACAUGCUUAUUGAAGUUGGAAACAUGGCCUCUGAGGGCUAUGUUGAGAGUAGUACCUGCACGAGGUAGAUUAUGGCCAGUGCUUUGGAUCGGAGGCCUCUUCAGUCAUAACCAGACUUGGUGGGUCCAGCAUGAAACAACUGUUUCUGUUGAUGUAACUUCAAAAGGUUCCGGACAAUCCAUGUCAACCCUGGUUCACAGGAUUCUGGUUGUCUACAGAGAAAAAAGGAGAAACUCUAAAGAAAUAGAAAUUGCUGGAGCUAUAAUUCUGCCACGUUUCACUGCUCUACAUUAGCCUUUGAGAAUAAAGAUGUGGAGUUAGGGUUUUGAGAGCAAGAUGCAAGGUACGGGGACAGGAACAGACACACCUAAUUGUCCAUCGUCCUUUCCUCUCUCCCCUCUCUUCCAAACCCCAGACUUAAUCUUUCUCUUUCUUUCUUUCUCCUCUUUUUAGUUUGCCCCGCAUAUACAAACCUGUCCUUGCACUGCCUCUCCCUGUCUCACAUGGGCGUUUUCUUUUCCUUCCAUUUCUCCCUCCUACCCUCCUCUCUUCUUUCUUGCUGCUGCUGAUCCGUCAGUAUUCUUUUUCCCUCAAACUGAAGUCCCGUUAUGGAUCCUUUUGUGUUCCCCCUGGGGGCAAAUACAGUAGCCAUC